AUGCAGGAAGAAUGUGAGCAUGUGAGUGACCACGUCGUCGCCCAGCGAGCUCUCUCCCCGCCGCAGCUUGUCCCUCCUCUCCUCGAUGACCGCUGCGACGGUCCGCCGCAACGGCGCCGGCUCGCCGCCAGGCACCGGCUGAAGGUGCUGAAGGGCACGUUGACCGGCACCGCCCAGACCCCCCUCGCAAGCUCCCGGAACUCCAUCGACAGCUCCUCCCGGACAGCGGCGUCGCUCCCCAGCUUGAAGGGGACGGUGCACAUCACGUCGAACGUGAGCGACUUCAUCGACGGCUUCACUGCGACGGCGGCGCGGCCGCGCCAGUGCGCAUCAAGGUGGCACCGGACCUCGGCGUCCAUGGCGGCGACAUGCCUCUUGAUGGCGUCCAGCUUGAGGAAUUGCACCAUCAUGGCCCGGACGCACGCGUGGUCGCCAGCGACGACGUCGUGGAGCAUACACUGGCCGACCAUGCAGCUGAAAGACUCGCUUUUCAUGGUGGUCAGCGCCAGGCUGGUGAAGAGGAACAUGUUGGCGGCGGGGCCGAUGAGGAAGGCCGUCGGGCGACGGAAUAGGGACAUCCGUGACACCUGGCCGUAG
rnacentral:rRNA from 1 species